UUUUUUUUUUUUUUUUUUUACAUUGACACAAUUAUGAUGGUGAUUGUUGUAUAUGAUGUAACAAUACAUUGUAUCCAAUUUCUGGUUUAAUAUGUUGGGCCCUUUUGUUUUAUAAAAUAUAAAUUUGGGUUCCUUCUUUGAUGUUUUAGCAGAUGAUAAUACUAACAAUAAUAAUACAAAUAAAUAAAUAAAUAAACAAAGAUCAGAAAAGAGGAGUUAAAACCAAAUUAUCAAAUCAAAUGUUUUGGUUUCGUUCAGUUUCAUUUUUAUAUUUUUAACAAUUUGGUUUCUGUUUUUCCCAACAAGAUGGGGGGAGACAUUAGGUGCUAUGUUUCACAUCACCAAAAUAAUACCUUGGAGCUAAAGAUCGACAGGUAUAUACCUCAUAAACUCGCUGUUGAGAGA
rnacentral:misc_RNA from 1 species